rnacentral:misc_RNA from 1 species
AACGCAAAUUGCGCCCAAGGCCUCGGCCGAGGGCAUGCCUGCCUCAGCGUCGUUUCACCCCCCUCUCCAUUUCCCCUUCUAAGGACGAAAAGGAGGAUCUGGUCGUUUCGAUUGUCACGAUCGAAUCGGCCGAAAUGCAGAAGGGUCCCCCCGCUCAGCGAGGACGUCCGAAAGGUAGUAUUAUCAGUCGGGCUCCGAGUGGAGGGCGCCCUCUACAGCCGGAGAAACAUCCACAGAUUUUGACCUGAGUUCAGGCAAGGGCACCCGCUGGACUUAA